rnacentral:lncRNA from 1 species
UCUCUCUCGGAAAAGUUGAAAUUUCGAUUGAGGCUGGAUAAUUCACAGCGGAUCCAAAUUCUGAGGCUGAGGGGGGUUUUUCAUUUUCCUUGUCUUCUUGUUUUCCUCCUUGGGUAGAUGGGUUCCGAAGAGAAGAAGAAGAAGAAGAUAAUCGACUGGCGAUGGGAGAUUUGAGGUUUAGAGAUGGAUGCCCAGAAAGAAAGAAGAGAUCAGAAAGGCCAAACGGUGGGCAAUGAAAGAAAGAAACAAGGAACGAAUGAUGUGCCUUAUUUUUAUGGAAGAAGAAAAGACAGAAAGAACCAACUCAUAAGAUGAGAGGGCUGGCUGACGGAGAUGGUGGGGUACCGUACAGAACAGAGGUAACGGCGGUGGUGUCGGGAGGGAGGCUGUAGCUGCUAGGGGGAGAGCAUGGAGGUUGGGUGGGUUUUGUUUUUUAAUUUUUAUGUUGGUACUACCAAGUUCUCCAGGUAGCGCUGCGCAUCUAUGGUUCUCUUUUUUUUUUUAAUGUUUUAAAUGUGCCUUACUUAAUAUUUGAACCCUAAAGUAAAUAUCAUACCAAUCAAAAACUUAAAUAGUAUGAUACGAUGUCAUCCAGAGCCGCGCCAAAUAUAGUAAAAUUUAGGGGGUGUAUUCAUUUAGGAUUGUAUAAGAUUUUGAAAGAUUUUUUAUAUGUGACAGAUGUCCUGGAAUUGUAUAACUCCUAUAGGUUUUACUCGGAUUUUUAAUAAACUUGUAUAAACUUUUAUUAUACACUUCCAUACUUUUGUAUGAACUUUUGUUAUAGAUUCCGAUUAAUUUGCAUAGACUUUAUCACUCUUUCAUCCUAACACUAUUUUCUUUACCUAGCCACUAGUUGACCAUCCCUUUUUCUUUUUUUCCAAAUUCUUCCUCUACUUGCGUGCACAACAAUGAAUUUCCCUUUGAAAUUUCCACGAGCUGGAACCUAACCAAUUCCUCUCUUUUUGUUGCUGCUUGAGCAUUCUCACGCUCUCUCUUUGCUUUCUCAUAGGCCUGCUGAACCACGCUUGUAGCUUGGGUAGUCGUAGAAGCACCGAAUGCUUUCGAGAAUGGACCCAACUGAAAGCUGUUUUGGUUAUAUGAUUCAGGUGCGUUGAAACUUGCAGAGGUGGCAUUACUCCUCCCUGUAUUAAAUGUGUUUUUAUUAGCUGUUUCAUGCUUUGGAGUCUGCCGUUGUUGUGAGGAAUUCCAUGCAGUGGCUGACUUGGAACCAUUCAUAGGUCGUGGAACUAUUUCUACAUCAAGAAAUGGUUCAUGGCAAUUAGGGCAAAGAAGAUUAUGAUUAAGAUAAAUUCUAAGACACUCAUAUUGCAUUUUGCAUUUAUGACACACAAUCCAAAAGGUACUAGGCCUUGCUUUAUGACAAGAAGCAGGAGUUGAAAAAACGGCUAGCUCGUGUGGUACCUUUCUGAGUCUUUGUGCCAGACGUACUUUUUAUUAUAAAUUCAUAUCAAUUUGUCUUCACAAAAGUAUAGUGAAUAUUAUAAGAAAUUCAAAGACACCCACCACAAAUUCACGAAAAGCAGAUACUAUAAGAAAUUCAAAGUAACUAGCGUUCACGAAAGUAUAAUGACAAAUUUAUAACCAAUUUGAAAGCAAUGCUGAAAGAAAAAUAUGCAACAUUCAUUUGUUAUCGUUAAUUCUCAUUGUUGUCAUUGUGGCCAAUAUCUC